UAUUGCACAAUGGGGGAAACCCUGAUGCAGCGACGCCGCGUGAGUGAAGAAGUAUUUCGGUAUGUAAAGCUCUAUCAGCAGGGCAGAAAAUGACGGUACCUGCUUAAAAAGCCCCGGCUAACUACGUGCCAGCAGCCGCGGUAAUACGUAGGGGGCAAGCGUUAUCCGGAUUUACCGGGUGUAAAGGGAGCGUAGACGGCAGCACAAGUCUGGAGUGAAAAGCCGGGGCUUAACCCCGGAACUGCUUUGGGAACUGUGCAGCUAGAGUGCAGGAGAGGUAAGUGGAAUUCCUAGUGUAGCGGUGAAAUGCGUAGAUAAUAGGAGGAACACCAGUGGCGAAGGCGGCUUACUGGACUGUAACUGACGUUGAGGCUCGAAAGCGUGGGGAGCAAACAGG
rnacentral:rRNA from 1 species